rnacentral:rRNA from 1 species
AGAGUUUGAUCAUGGCUCAGAGCGAACGCUGGCGGCAGGCUUAACACAUGCAAGUCGAGCGGGCGUAGCAAUACGUCAGCGGCAGACGGGUGAGUAACGCGUGGGAACGUACCUUUUGGUUCGGAACAACACAGGGAAACUUGUGCUAAUACCGAAUAAGCCCUUACGGGGAAAGAUUUAUCGCCGAAAGAUCGGCCCGCGUCUGAUUAGCUAGUUGGUGAGGUAAUGGCUCACCAAGGCGACGAUCAGUAGCUGGUCUGAGAGGAUGAUCAGCCACAUUGGGACUGAGACACGGCCCAAACUCCUACGGGAGGCAGCAGUGGGGAAUAUUGGACAAUGGGCGCAAGCCUGAUCCAGCCAUGCCGCGUGAGUGAUGAAGGCCCUAGGGUUGUAAAGCUCUUUUGUGCGGGAGGAUAAUGGCGGUACCGCAAGAAUAAGCCCCGGCUAACUUCAUGCCAGCAGCCGCGGUA